GCCAUUUCUGCAAAUUUAAUCAAGUGUUAAAACUUAGACAAUAUUCGAUACAACAACUAAGAUAAAUUAUAUCAUAUAAAUUAUAUAAUACAAAAGAUAAAUUAUAAAAUACAAAUUAUACAUCUCAUCUCAAUAUCUAUCCCUACUAACUAAUUACAACAUAGGAUAAAUUAUAUCAUAUAAAUUAUAUAAUACAAAAGAUAAAUUAUAAAAUACAAAUUAUACAUCUCAUCUCAAUAUCUAUCCCCACAAACUAAUUACAACACAUGAUAAAUUAUAUCAUAUAAAUUAUAUAAUACAAAAGAUAAACUAUAAAAUAAAAAUUAUACAUCUCAUCUCAAUAUCUAUCCCCACAAACUAAUUACAACACAUGAUAAAUUAUAUCAUAUAAAUUAUAUAAUACAAAAGAUAAAUUAUAAAAUAGAAAUUAUACAUCUCAUCUCAAUAUCUAUCCCCACAAACUAAUUACAACACAUGAUAAAUUAUAUUAUAUAAAUUAUAUAAUACAAAAGAUAAAUUAUAAAAUAGAAAUUAUACAUCUCAUCUCAAUAUCUAUCCCUACUAACUAAUUACAACACAUGAUAAAUUAUAUCAUAUAAAUUAUAUAAUACAAAAGAUAAAUUAUAAAAUAGAAAUUAUACAUCUCAUCUCAAUAUCUAUCCCCACAAACUAAUUACAACACAUGAUAAAUUAUAUCAUAUAAAUUAUAUAAUACAAAAGAUAAAUUAUAAAAUAGAAAUUAUACAUCUCAUCUCAAUAUCUAUCCCCACAAACUAAUUACAACACAUGAUAAAUUAUAUCAUAUAAAUUAUAUAAUACAAAAGAUAAAUUAUAAAAUAGAAAUUAUACAUCUCAUCUCAAUAUCUAUCCCCACAAACUAAUUACAACAUAGGAUAAAUUAUAUCAUAUAAAUUAUAUAAUACAAAAGAUAAAUUAUAAAAUAGAAAUUAUACAUCUCAUCUCAAUAUCUAUCCCCACA
rnacentral:lncRNA from 1 species